CCUGGCUCCGGAUGAACGCUAGCUACAGCGCUUAACACAUGCAAGUCGAGGGGCAGCAUGGUCUUAGCUUGCUAAGGCCGAUGGCGACCGGCGCACGGGUGAGUAACACGUAUCCAACCUGCCGUCUACUCUUGGACAGCCUUCUGAAAGGAAGAUUAAUACAAGAUGGCAUCAUGAGUCCGCAUGUUCACAUGAUUAAAGGUAUUCCGGUAGACGAUGGGGAUGCGUUCCAUUAGAUAGUAGGCGGGGUAACGGCCCACCUAGUCUUCGAUGGAUAGGGGUUCUGAGAGGAAGGUCCCCCACAUUGGAACUGAGACACGGUCCAAACUCCUACGGGAGGCAGCAGUGAGGAAUAUUGGUCAAUGGGCGAGAGCCUGAACCAGCCAAGUAGCGUGAAGGAUGACUGCCCUAUGGGUUGUAAACUUCUUUUAUAAAGGAAUAAAGUCGGGUAUGGAUACCCGUUUGCAUGUACUUUAUGAAUAAGGAUCGGCUAACUCCGUGCCAACAGCCGCGGUAAUACGGAGGAUCCGAGCGUUAUCCGGAUUUAUUGGGUUUAAAGGGAGCGUAGAUGGAUGUUUAAGUCAGUUGUGAAAGUUUGCGGCUCAACCGUAAAAUUGCAGUUGAUACUGGAUAUCUUGAGUGCAGUUGAGGCAGGCGGAAUUCGUGGUGUAGCGGUGAAAUGCUUAGAUAUCACGAAGAACUCCGAUUGCGAAGGCAGCCUGCUAAGCUGCAACUGACAUUGAGGCUCGAAAGUGUGGGUAUCGAACAGGAUUAGAUACCCUGGUAGUCCACACGGUAAACGAUGAAUACUCGCUGUUUGCGAUAUACAGCAAGCGGCCAAGCGAAAGCGUUAAGUAUUCCACCUGGGGAGUACGCCGGCAACGGUGAAACUCAAAGGAAUUGACGGGGGCCCGCACAAGCGGAGGAACAUGUGGUUUAAUUCGAUGAUACGCGAGGAACCUUACCCGGGCUUAAAUUGCAGAUGAAUUACGGUGAAAGCCGUAAGCCGCAAGGCAUCUGUGAAGGUGCUGCAUGGUUGUCGUCAGCUCGUGCCGUGAGGUGUCGGCUUAAGUGCCAUAACGAGCGCAACCCUUGUUGUCAGUUACUAACAGGUUCCGCUGAGGACUCUGACAAGACUGCCAUCGUAAGAUGUGAGGAAGGUGGGGAUGACGUCAAAUCAGCACGGCCCUUACGUCCGGGGCUACACACGUGUUACAAUGGGGGGUACAGAGGGCCGCUACCACGCGAGUGGAUGCCAAUCCCCAAAACCUCUCUCAGUUCGGACUGGAGUCUGCAACCCGACUCCACGAAGCUGGAUUCGCUAGUAAUCGCGCAUCAGCCACGGCGCGGUGAAUACGUUCCCGGGCCUUGUACACACCGCCC
rnacentral:rRNA from 1 species